rnacentral:misc_RNA from 1 species
AAAUAAAGAAGAAUUCUCAAAAUGCAAAGUUAGGAUAUGCGCAAGACGAGAUUAUCGUUCAUUGCGGGACGAACGACCCAAGAGUCCUUGGUAAAUUCCGGAAUUUGGAGAGCAUGGAAAAGCCCCAUUCGGGAGUGGGCGCCUGGCCGGAUUUCCAGGAUGAUUGGUGAAAAGGUAUACUCCCCCUUAAGUACUCUCCACUGAAUAUCGCGAACUGUAGAUAGAUCCAUCGAUGCAAAUCAACUUUUUUUAAAUUUACCAUUGUAAACCUUGCCCAACCAAGAUAGGAAACUCACUACGAU